UCAAGCGAAUAAGAGCUUACGACGGAUACCUUGGUGUUCAGAAGCGAUGAAGGGCGUGGCUACCAACGAAAUGUUUCGGGGAACUGGAAGCAAGUUUUGAUCCGAAAAUACCCGAAUAAGGAAACUUCAAGAACUACUUCUUGAAUACAUAAAGAGGAAAGAGCAAACCUAGUGAAUUGAAACAUCUUAGUAACUAGAGGAAAAGAAAGCAAAAGCGAUUCCCUUAGUAGCGGCGAGCGAAAUGGGACUAGUCUAAACUCUGUAUAAAUAGAGGGUUGUGGGACAAUGUUAUAAAAAAGUGCGAGUGUUAGAUGAAACUGGUGGAAUACAGUAUCAAAGAAGGUGAAAAUCCUGUAAUCGAAAACAUAAACAUUUUAAAAUUGUAUCCCAAGUAGGAAGGGACACGUGAAACCCCUUUUGAAUUUGCGAGGACCACCUCGUAAGACUAAAUAUUCCUGAAUAACCGAUAGUGAACCAGUACCGUGAGGGAAAGGUGAAAAGAACCCCGGGAGGGGAGUGAAAUAGAACAUGAAAUCGUAAGUUUACAAGCAGUGGAAGAGCGACUUAACGCUCGACUUCGUGCCUGUUGAAGAAUGAGCUGGCGACUUGUAGGUUAUGGCAAGGUUAAAAUAAGAGAAUAUUGGAGCCAUAGUGAAAGCGAGCUUGAUAAGAGCUUUAAGUCAUAAUUUACAGACCCGAACCCGGAUGAUCUAACCAUGGCCAGUGUGAAGCUUAGGUAACACUAAGUGGAGGUACGAACCGACUGUUGUUGAAAAAACAGCGGAUGAGUUGUGGUUAGGGGUGAAAUUCCAAUCGAAUCCGGAGCUAGCUGGAUCUCCCCGAAAUGCGUUGAGGCGCAGCGGUUAAUGUUUCUUCUUAGGGGUAAAGCUACUGUUUUGGUGCGGGCUACGAGAGUGGUACCAAGUCAAGGCAAACUCUGAAUACUAAGACGUUUAAUUAACCAGUGAGACAUUGGGGGAUAAGCUUCAAUGUCAAAAGGGAAACAGCCCAGAUUACUAGCUAAGGCCCCUAAAUAAUUACUAAGUGGUAAAGGAGGUGGGACUGCAUAGACAAUCAGGAGGUUUGCCCAGAAGCAGCAAUCCUUUAAAGAGUGCGUAAUAGCUCACUGUUCGAGUGAUCCUGCGCCGAAAAUGACUGGGACUAAGUAAUUUGCCGAAGCUGUAAGAUGUCAAAACAUCGGUAGGGGAGCGUUCUACAUUAGUUUGAAGCGUUAACGAAAGUGGGCGUGGACGAAGUAGAAGUGAGAAUGUUAGCUUGAGUAGCGAAAACAUUGGUGAGAAUCCAAUGCCCCGAAAACCCAAGGGUUCCUCCGGAAGGCUCGUCCGCGAAGGGUUAGUCAGGUCCUAAGGUGAGGCUGAAAAGCGUAAUCGAUGGAUAACAGGUUAAUAUUCCUGUACUGUUUAUUGUUGGUAAAGGGGGACGGAGAAGGCUAGGUCGACCGAAUGUUGGUUAUCGGCUUAAAUAUUCGAGGUUAUGAGGACUGGUGAAAACAGUCUGAGCUGAGAUAUGAAUAGGAAAGUGUCAAGACACUGAACCGGCUGAUGUCAUACUUCCAAGAAAAGCCCUAACUACCACAAACAAUAAAUACCUGUACCCUAAACCGACACAGGUGGGUAAGUAGAGAAUACUAAGGGGCGCGAGAUAACUCUCUCUAAGGAACUCGGCAAAAUGGCCUCGUAACUUCGGGAGAAGAGGUACCCUUUAUUGGGUUGCAAGAACCAGACGCUGGCGACUGUUUACCAAAAACACAGGUCUCCGCAAAGUCGUAAGACGAUAUAUGGGGGCUGACACCUGCCCAGUGCCGGAAGGUUAAGGAAGCUUGUUAGUCUUUGACGAAGCUCGCGACUGAAGCCCCGGUGAACGGCGGCCGUAACUAUAACGGUCCUAAGGUAGCGAAAUUCCUUGUCGGGUAAG
rnacentral:rRNA from 1 species